UAAUACGAGGGGUGCAAGCGUUAAUCGGAAUUACUGGGCGUAAAGCGUUCGUAGGCGGUUAUUUAAGCAAGAUGUGAAAGCCCAGGGCUCAACCUUGGAACUGCAUUUUGAACUGGGUAACUAGAGUACUGUAGAGGGUGGUGGAACUUCCAGUGUAGCGGUGAAAUGCGUAGAGAUUGGAAGGAACAUCAGUGGCGAAGGCGGCCACCUGGACAGAUACUGACGCUGAGGAACGAAAGCGUGGGGAGCGAACAGGAUUAGAUACCCUGGUAGUCCACGCCGUAAACGAUGUCAACUAGCCGUUCGUGGACUUGAUCCGUGAGUGGCGCAGCUAACGCACUAAGUUGACCGCCUGGGGAGUACGGCCGCAAGGUUA
rnacentral:rRNA from 1 species